CGCAUGCUCUGUCUGCUCCGGGGCGUGGAGCGGGCGCCGGUGAGGUGGCCUUUUGGGCUCCAGAGCUCUUUGCUUUCUGCUCUGAGGUUCUUCUGACUUUGCAGAGACGCCAGAAGUAGCUUUCUCAGCUCAUGCCAUGCACAACUUCGAAGCCUUGAGAGAACUAGGAGUGACCAUUCUGCCCUGCAUGUUCAGCAAGGAAAUUGCCCUCAAGAAGGGAUUGCCUACCUGAUGCUACUGAGUCUCCUCAUACUCCUGCCCAAGGACAAAGAUCAGGUCUCACGAUUCUGCCU